UGUUCAGAUGACAAAUGCAAUGAGAUUUCACAAUGAUGUGUCGUAUAAUGGCUGUAGAAGAUUUUGUACCAAGUUUUAUGAAAAUCAAUCCAGGUCAGAGUCUUUAUCAGAGAGAAAGAAGCAAUUACCCAUCGAAACCUGUAUCAGUGGUACUGGAAACAACUGGAUCUAGUGACAAUAUUCAAGCUCGGUGAAGGGUGGGGCUACAUGUAGAUAUGGGAGCAGAUUUCACAUUAUACAGUAAGGCUAUGAGUAGUCUCCCCUGUUAAAGAUCAACAAUGGUGGAUAUACAAUGCGGGAUGCUGUGUAGUACAUACUACGUACAUCAUUAACAGAGUUUUGACACCUGUAUACCUGUAUUUCUACCAAUCACCUCUGUAACCUUUGUUGUAAUCGUCAGACAGGUUCCCCUACAGAUUCACAAAGUUCCAAUAUUGAAUUUCCAUGACCCCUAUUCAUCCAUGACAGAAAAAGGAAUAAAGUUGACAGGACUUUCAUCACUGCCCUUUAACUGGUAGCAGUUUACGUUUAGACAGCAGAAGACAUAGCCAGUUUCAUCAAAGAUGCACCAGAUGCCUUGGCACUAUCUCCAUCACUGGUGAAAUGGGAAAUGACUAGUAGACCGUCAUCACUUAAUAUUUUUAACUCACCAAUGCAUAAUUUGAGGCCAAUCUCUUCUCAUCUCCGAUGGUGGUCUCCGGAGGAAUGGUUGCAGUGC